GACGAACGCUGGCGGCGUGCCUAAUACAUGCAAGUCGAGCGGAGUUUGAAAGAAGCUUGCUUCUUUCAAACUUAGCGGCGGACGGGUGAGUAACACGUGGGUAACCUGCCUCUAAGACUGGGAUAACAUUCGGAAACGGAUGCUAAUACCGGAUACACGUUUUGAUCGCAUGAUCGAAAUGGGAAAGACGGAGUAAUCUGUCACUUAAAGAUGGACCUGCGGCGCAUUAGCUAGUUGGUGAGGUAAUGGCUCACCAAGGCGACGAUGCGUAGCCGACCUGAGAGGGUGAUCGGCCACACUGGGACUGAGACACGGCCCAGACUCCUACGGGAGGCAG
rnacentral:rRNA from 1 species